GGGGAUAAAGAUAUCAACAAUCAUGACAGUGCUGCUGCUCUCCUUCUAAACAGGUUCUAUUUCCAAUUCUUUGCAUCGAGUUAGAGCAUGUAGCAGCUCUCAGGAUAUACUGAAGAUAAAAGUUUGUUUGUUUUCAGUUUGCACUUCCCUUAUGAUCAGAGGCAGAGAUUCAGUUACCUAUCCUUUUGUGUUCAAAAUUAGGAAGACGCUAGAAACCAUGCUCCUAUGGCCUUCACUGAAUGGGGAUGAAACUGCAUGCCUGAUUACUCUUUUUUUUUUUCCAUAUUUUUCUACUGGUUACUCUUAUCUCUAUGCAAGUAAUGGCUGUAAGUAUUUUCUCCCCUUAGUUUCCAAAGCACAACAUGGAUGCAUUGAUUGUCUAGCAAUGAUGAUAUGUGCUGAAUUCAAAACUCUAGAAUCAUUUGCCUCGACCUCAGAGAAGAUUACGAUUCCUGAAAAGAAAGAUUGUACCAGUUAGUUUCAUAUCCUUAUUAUGAACAUAAAUAUUGAUCCAUAUAAAUAUGCAAUUAAUCAUGCAUAUCCAAUCAAUCUUAACUAAGCUUAACAAUAUAGUGGUCUUCAAAAUAUACCAGGAAUCAC